AGUGUUUAUGCCGGAAGGACAGUUCGUGCAGUCGAUGCCGCCGGACCUGACACGAAGGAGCGUUUGCCGAGUAUGUCUCGAAAGGGAUGUCACGAUUUCGUGAGACGGAGGCAUCUCUGCACCACAUGGGAGCCUGUGGCAAAAUGCAGUCUCAGCAGCCCGACAAGGAAUCUGAUCUGCUUGCUUUGACAAGGUAUGGCUGGGCCUGCAGAGAAAGUGUAAGCAGACUGUGCUGUGUUGCUGAUCAGUGCUGAUCUCCACGCCUGAGUUGGUCCCACAACAUCCAGGCACCAGCGUGCUUUGCUUCAUCAUUGACAAGGUAAUAUGAUAUGGAGAGCUUGCACCUGGAUAUCAGUUUUGAGCUUGAGUUUUGAGAAAUAUGUUAAGAUAGAAGACACAAGGGUUGGCCUUGGUGAUAGAUACAUGUGUGUGUUUUUUUAAAGUGCUCUUUUUGAAAUAUUCUUCGUGGACCUAUUUUCAGCAAAUGUUUACACUCCUUAAUUGCAAACUGCCAUGGAGCUGGUUUAUGCCUUAAACUAGCACUCUUUCACCAAGAAAAAGCCUUAUUUAGCACAAAAUUCAUAGGAAAGGCAAGGAGGUGACAGGAUAGAACGCUACUAACACCAUCCAAUUUUACUGCUUGCACAGCAAUAUAAAGCGAGAGUUGAAAGGACGAGGUUUGGGUUUGCGUUCG